CAGCCGCCGCGGUAAUGCGUAGGUCCCGAGCGUUGUCCGGAUUUAUUGGGCGUAAAGCGAGCGCAGGCGGUUAGAUAAGUCUGAAGUUAAAGGCUGUGGCUUAACCAUAGUACGCUUUGGAAACUGUUUAACUUGAGUGCAAGAGGGGAGAGUGGAAUUCCAUGUGUAGCGGUGAAAUGCGUAGAUAUAUGGAGGAACACCGGUGGCGAAAGCGGCUCUCUGGCUUGUAACUGACGCUGAGGCUCGAAAGCGUGGGGAGCAAACAGGAUUAGAUACCCGAGUAGUCCCUGUCUCUUAUACC
rnacentral:rRNA from 1 species